UGUCACUCAAGGACCACACUUCAGACAUGUAAGAUCCUCCAUCCAUUAAAUCGUUGAUGUCUCUGUCGCUGAUUUUGGGCUCUUUUUUCAUUCUUUCAAGCCUCUGUGUUGCAGCCCAACUAUGUAGUUUUAAAUAAUUUGACUUGAUAAUAUGACUACACUUUAAUUGAGUCAAAAUGAGUUGUAAAUAAGUGGAAAAAAGAAAAGCUCCUAUUUGAAAAAUGUAUUUGUGUAGUGGACUGCACUGAAUAAAGUUGAGGCUAAUGAACAUUGGUUCCAUUUGGGAAGGAGAUGCAGAGUGGAAAUUUCCUCCAAUAAUCCCAUCAAGCACUAUGCUUUUGAUUAAACUGACCCUGUGUUUUUGUAUAAUUUAAAACAAAAUGUUGAAAUAUAUUUAUAUACAAUAAAGAACACAGAAAAUAUUCCAUCAAGUGUUGAAGGAAUAAUGAUUUUUCAACAGCCUUGCUCAGGUCAGAAUUGGAGGUGUAUGAACAAAAAAUUUGCAAACAAUAUUGAGUAUUUUGCUAGGCCUAUGUCAUGAGGAGGGCCAUCUGGUUUGCAUAAAACAAACAUGGUAUGGCUGUCAGUUCAUUAUACUUUCAUAUUUACCUUUAACGUUAGGAGUUCAUGGAUUUUUACAUAGGAAAUGAUUGCCAAAUGCCAGUUUAUGUACCUGAUGCACAGUGAGGCCAAACAAACAAAAUCGUCGAAGUUUGGAGCAGGUAAAGAUUUAUUGCAAAGACCAAGCAAGGAGAACUGGUGGCUCGUGCUCAAAAGACCUGAACUCCUGGAUGAUUUUUGUGGAAGAGUUUUUAUAGUAAAAAUUUGGGGCGAAGCCUAUAGGAUGUGUGACUUUUGUUGGUAAUGAGGUGACUGGGUGGUGUUUAGGAAUAUUGUACUCAAUCUGAAGUUACCAUCCUCCAGCAGAGUGGGAGUUUUAGAUCCUGCACAUAUUGUUAUGCAUAACAAGACACAUACAUAGAUAUUGCUAUGUAUAUCCCUUGAGGAGGAAACAGGUCCCCGUUUUAUAGCUACCCUAUUGUUUUUGACUGCCCCUCCUUUGCUUCUGUAUUUUCUCUUCUUCCUUAUUAGUAACUGUCUGAAUCUGUCCUUUGCAACUCAGCGACAACAGUCUAGGAGCUGAAACCUUUUUCCUCCAAAGAAGCAGAGGACAGGGAAAGGCUUUUGUAUCCAGAAAGGCCCUGCAGCAUCCUGCUUGGUUUGAAAAUUGCAAUAAAUGAAAAAAGAAGUCUGUUCCAUUAUGACUAAACCAGUGAACUCACUCUUGAGAAAAUAUGCUAUUUGUCCUUCACAAAGGAUGCCCCCUUGAUGCCAAGUAGGUUAAUUAAUGCAGAGACGGAAAAUUCUAUUCCAUUAGGAGGAUAUUUUCUCGGGACUAUCAGGAUCUAGCAAUUUGGAGAAUAUGAUUUCAGCUACGAGCUUUCCUAGUUUUGCCCUGGGACCCAGGUAUACAGAUGGCCUAAGAGCCACAGUGUGGACAUGAUCUUGGAGAGGCAGCAGUGAGUGGUGGCAUGAAGUGAGAUCUUAAUUCCCUGCCCAGGAAUUGAACCUGGGCAGCCUGGAUGAAAACCAGGAAUCCUAGCCACCACACCCCCGGCUCUUGCCCCCAGUGAAAAAUGCAUUGCUCACGGAGGCAAAAACUGUAAAAACAGGUACAAAGUUUAUUAUUAGAGACAUAGCACACAGAGAAACAGUUUGUUUAGUUAAGACAGAAGCAAGGCAGAGAUGCACAUCUGGAUAGAGAGGGUGUGGGCGUCCCCCCUAAUGAGGAGAAGCGCAGUAAAAAGGUGGUUAAAUCAUUUAUACAGGGCAGUUCUUCUGGGUCUUUGUGUACCUUUGGCCAAUUAUCUGGUUUCUUCUUCUACACCUGACCUGCCCUAGGACCCUCCCCAAUAUGCCUGUGCAACUUUUUUCCAAGAUGGAUUUCAGCCCAGAGGCCUAUGAGACGGCCUUAGCAUCACAUAUUCUGGGGUGGUGUGCCCUCCUUUUUGACCCCCAAGGAACCUUUCUGCACAUGUGCAGUGUCUCCCUUGCCCCAAGGAUGGGAAAUAUAUGACCUCUUGAUCCUUGACUCAAACAAGGGUUAGCCCCUCUCUAUUCCUGCCAUGACUGUUAUCUUAAGGUGUUCACGGGAGACAAAGCCUGGGUAUUUACCCUGUUUCUGCAGUUACUUCCAUUUCAGAGAGCAAACAGGAGGCUGAUUUUAAAUGUCUAAACUGAAGCCCAUCUAUCUCCUGUCUCAGCAAAUGUAAACAGGAGACUAAGUUGUAAGUGUCGGAAGCCCACUUUUUCCUGCCCCAUGAAAUGUAAACGGGAGGUUAGUUGUGAAUGCCUGGCUUGGGGCCCCUCUAUCUCCUGCCUCAGACACACACCCAGUCAGGGGUCUCAGGGCACCCAGGACCCUGGGAUAAGCAUUUCCCCCCGUAUUUCUACUCUGAAGUACUAAAUUGAUUGCUUGGUUCACAGUCAACCCAGGGUGCAGGGGGCCAAGGGAAAUGUAGUCUUUCUCCCUCUUACUGUCUUCCUGGUCUUUAGCGGCUUCCUCUGCGCAUGUGCAACGUAGGGCCCGCCUCACCCCUUCCGCUUUCAUGCGCCUCGAGGUGAGAAGAACCUGGAGCUUUGGUCGUGGCAGGUGCAGGACUUGCGUGGCCUGAAGCUUCGCUGAGAGCGGCGUUCUUGUGGCGGGGGCAGAAGCGGGACGUCGCGGGACGUCUCGGGCCGUCCUCUGGCCCAGGCGGGACUGCAGUGCCCGGGUCUGGCCUGGACCUCCGCCCUGGGAAGCUGAAUCUUCAGUCCUCUGCACCUUCCUAAACGCUACAGAAGAUGAACAUAUCUGAGGUCAGCUCUCUAUUCAUUUCCCACUUUGUGGUGUGAUGGAUUUAACUCUUGAUUUCAGAUUGCUCUCAGCCUGUUUUAUACAUUCUUUAUCAAUGUAAGUUAUUUUCCUUUUAUGAUUAGUUUGCUAAGAUUUUACUUGAGUCAGGAAUGUACACUCUUGAGUUAUAUUGAAUACCUUUUUGUAUGUAUUGUAGUAAAGGUAUAGCUUAUUUUCUUUAAUCUGCAAAUUUUCGAGGUAGCUGAAAUGGAUUUUAGAAUGGUAACUUACUCUUGAAUUCUUGUAUGGAUGCUACUUGCUAAUGGGUUCUAGUUUUUUGGUUUUGAUUUUACAUACUAAAUAGUGUGAUUUGUAAAUAAGCAUAUUUUUUUAUCUCUUUCUAUCUCUGUGCACUUUAAUUUCUUUUUCAGUCAGGCUGGGAUUUAAUGUGAAAGAAUUCAUUUAUUCACUGCUAAGUAUGAUGUUAGUCAUAUGCCUUAAAUAGCUUCUCAUUGUCAGAUCUUUUCUUUUCCUCCUAUUCCUAGUGCUAUAAAAUUAGUGUCAUUUCUUCCUUAAAAAUUCACUCUAGAAUUCACUACAGAAACAAUGUGGACCUGAAGUUUACUUUGUCAGAAUUUUUUUUUUUAAAUAACAAUUUUAUUGAGGUACAAUUCUUGUACCAAAAAUUCACCCUUUUAAUUUGUGCAGUGCAGUGCUUUUUUUAAACUAUGUUCACAGAGAUGUGGAAUUAUCACCACUAUUUAAUUUUAGAAUAAUUUCAUCACCCUCAAAAGAAACCCUGUACUCUUUAGUAGUCACUCUCCAUUCCUGCUCCCAAGCUCCUAGGAACUACUAAUCUACUCCGUGUCUUUAGAGAUUUGCUUAUUUUGGAGGUUUCCUAUAAAUGGAAUCACAAAAUAUGUACCCUUUGGUGAAUGGCUUCUUUCAUUUAGCAUGACCUUUUUAAGGUUCAUCACUGUUGUAAUACGCAUCAGUAAUCCAGUUCAGUUUCUGGCCAAGCUAAUAUUUAGUUGUAUGGAUAUAUCACAUUUUGUUUAUCAGUUUAUCAGUUGAUAGACAUUUGUUGUUUCUGUUUUGACUGUUAUGACUGUUUUGACUGUUAUGAGCAGUUGUGUAAACAUUUUUGUGUGUACCCAGUUUUCCAAUCUACUUUGUAUAUACUUAGAAUGGAAUUACUGGGCGAUAAGGUAACUGUUCAACAAAUUUAGAAACUGCCAGAACAAUUUUCCAAGGCAGUGGAACUAUUUUACCACCCCAUCAGCAAUGAAUGAGGGUUACAGUUUUCCCACAACUACCAUUAGUCAUUGUUAUUGUCUGUCUUUUUUUUAAAAGCCCUCCUGGUGAAUGUGAAGUGGGAUUUUAUUAUGGUCAUGAUUUGCAUCUCCCUAAUGUUGAGCAUCUUUUCGUGUUCUAAUUUUUUAUUGGCUGUUUGUAUAUAUUCCUUGGAGAAAUGUCUGUUCACAUUCAUUCUCCGUUAAUAAAUUGGGUUAUUUGUCA